rnacentral:tRNA from 1 species
CCCUGGUGGCUCAAAUGGUAAAGAGUCUGCCUACAACGCAGAAGACCCGAGUUCGAUCCCCAGAUUAGGAA